rnacentral:lncRNA from 1 species
AUGUUAAUGUCGACUGACGUUGCUUCCAUUAUGCUGCCCGUGUCCCGGGCUCUCAUAGACCGGGACAGAGAGCUGGACACCAUGCCCGGGGUGCAUCCCAACCCGGGCGGCGCUCCCGCAGCCCUCCGAGGCAUGAAGCGCGGGGACCCGGAGCCCGACGCGCAGACGGCGGUCACGCUGGUGGACUCCAGCGGGGCAGAGUGCAAGCGCCCACGCAUCGACGGCUCGGGAGGGCUUGGCGAGGUCGGCCAGAAUAACGACCCGUUGACUCUCGGUUACCACGGAUACCCAACUCACAGUCAGAUCAUCCUCCUCUCAUCCACUCAUCCUCUGCCCAUAAUCCUCUCAUCCCUCGCUCCCUGCGAUGCUCUGCAACCUUUGGCUUUAUCUGCUCUCUAUCUUUCUGAGGGGUUUCCGUUUGCGGCAGUAAAGGAGCAUUUCUCUGUGUAAUUCCGCUAAGUGGAUGCCGGUGAAGCCUUGAGGACUUUUAGGCGCUUUCGUUUCAUUGUGCGAUGAUAAAGCUUUUGAGUCGUUUCUGUCUAAACGAGGACUGAAGGGGUUGCUCGUAAAGUUCCUGUUUGUGUGGAUAAUCCCACAGCGGAGUGGAGAAAAGUCGGCGCAGGAUUUCUUCAGGGC